UACGUAGGGGGCAAGCGUUGUCCGGAUUUAUUGGGCGUAAAGAGCUCGUAGGUGGUUCGGUAAGUCGGAUGUGAAAUCUCCAGGCUCAACCUGGAGGGGUCAUUCGAUACUGCCGUGACUAGAGGUCGGUAGGGGAGUGUGGAAUUCCUGGUGGAGCGGUGAAAUGCGUAGAUAUCGGGAGGAACACCUGUGGCGAAGGCGGCCCCCUGGUCGGAUACUGGACGCUGAGACGCGAAAGCGUGGGAGCAAACAGG
rnacentral:rRNA from 1 species